CCUACGGGAGGCAGCAGUGAGGAAUAUUGGUCAAUGGGCGAGAGCCUGAACCAGCCAAGUCGCGUGAAUGAUGACGGCCCUACGGGUUGUACACUUCUUUUGUCAGGGAGCAAUUGGGUCCACGCGUGGGCUUAGCGAGAGUACCUGAAGAAAAGGCAUCGGCUAACUCCUUGCCAGCAGCGGCGGUAGUACGGAGGAGGCGAGCGUUAUCCGGAUUUAUUGGGUUUAAAGGGUGCGUAGGCGGAAUAUCAAGUCAGCGGUAAAAAUUCGGGGCUCAACCCCGUCGUGCCGUUGAAACUGAUGUUCUUGAGUGGGCGAGAAGUACGCGGAAUGCGUGGUGUAGCGGUGAAAUGCAUAGAUAUCACGCAGAACUCCGAUUGCGAAGGCAGCAUACCGGCGCCAGACUGACGCUGAGGCACGAAAGCGUGGGGAUCGAACAGGAUUAGAUACCCCUGUAGUC
rnacentral:rRNA from 1 species